rfam:Asian citrus Psyllid, Diaphorina citri - Florida Strain, whole genome shotgun sequence.
GCCAGCGGCGAUAGCACGUUCAGUACAACAGUUCCCAAUAGAUCACAGAAGCUAAACAACGUUGCGCGUGGUUAGUAUCCGCAUGGGUGACCACCUGGUCAAUCGCGGCCCCUCUUA